AUUGAACGCUGGCGGCAUGCCUUACACAUGCAAGUCGAACGGCAGCACGGGAGCAAUCCUGGUGGCGAGUGGCGAACGGGUGAGUAAUAUAUCGGAACGUGCCCAGUCGUGGGGAUAACGUAGCGAAAGCUACGCUAAUACCGCAUACGAUCUACGGAUGAAAGCGGGGGAUCGCAAGACCUCGCGCGAUUGGAGCGGCCGAUAUCAGAUUAGGUAGUUGGUGAGGUAAAGGCUCACCAAGCCGACGAUCUGUAGCUGGUCUGAGAGGACGACCAGCCACACUGGGACUGAGACACGGCCCAGACUCCUACGGGAGGCAGCAGUGGGGAAUUUUGGACAAUGGGCGCAAGCCUGAUCCAGCAAUGCCGCGUGCAGGAUGAAGGCCUUCGGUUGG
rnacentral:rRNA from 1 species